AUUGAACGCUGGCGGCAGGCCUAACACAUGCAAGUCGAGCGGAUGAAGGGAGCUUGCUCCUGGAUUCAGCGGCGGACGGGUGAGUAAUGCCUAGGAAUCUGCCUGGUAGUGGGGGAUAACGUCCGGAAACGGGCGCUAAUACCGCAUACGUCCUGAGGGAGAAAGUGGGGGAUCUUCGGACCUCACGCUAUCAGAUGAGCCUAGGUCGGAUUAGCUAGUUGGUGGGGUAAAGGCCUACCAAGGCGACGAUCCGUAACUGGUCUGAGAGGAUGAUCAGUCACACUGGAACUGAGACACGGUCCAGACUCCUACGGAAGGCAGCAGUGGGGAAUAUUGGACAAUGGGCGAAAGCCUGAUCCAGCCAUGCCGCGUGUGUGAAGAAGGUCUUCCGAUUGUAAAGCACUUUAAGUUGGGAGGAAGGGCAGUAAGUUAAUACCUUGCUGUUUUGACGUUACCAACAGAAUAAGCACCGGCUAACUUCGUG
rnacentral:rRNA from 1 species